GCCUCUGUUAGCUUUCAGAAGUUACCCAGGUUACAAAACAGAACAAACCACAGAUGGUGACCAAAAUCACCGUGUCAAUCAAUUCACUAAAAGUUCAUGGAACUCGAGUGACAUAGAAGAUGGUCAGUUAGCCGGAAACUUGUUUAAUGCGAAAUAAAACUUUAUGUGACACAGCAUUUUGGAUGAAGAAUGAAGGCCUUGCCCAGUGAUGUGUGUGUAUUGCCAUGGCCUUUCUACCGAUUGUACUCGUCCAAAUAGAGCAAACGGCGAAAACACAUGAGAGCACCUAGAGAAAAAUCAGAAGAAUGACGUGGGCAGAUCAAAUCAAGGAUGUCCGUACUCAGAGUCAGUUCAGGAAUUUAUGUGUAAACUGGCUGAGCACCCUCCUAGCAUGUCGGGUCCCAGGUUCAACCGCCAGCAUUCAAUGAGAUCCCACCAUUUGCCUGCAAAUUUCAUGAUUUCCUCCUUUUUGAUUGGAGUCUUGAUUUUCAAUAAGAGAUAAAGGAAGGCCUCGUUGAGAAACUACUUUUUUGAACAAAUAUUUGAAAGAGGAAAGGGAAUGAGCCAACCAGGUAGAGAGAACAAGGCCCCCAAACUGAGACUGUGAGCAUCUUGACCAGAGGACAGCGGUGUUGGGUGAAUGGAGCAAACCCAGUGGACCAGGAGGUGAGGUCAACACUAAAAGAGGACAGAGGGGCUCUUCAAAGGGGCCACAUAGGUCCCCGUGGGACCACCACGAGAACUUGGGCUUGUAUCCCGUGGUUUAUCUGAAGAAUUUUAACCAGAGAGGACCCCACAGAGCGUGGAGAAAGAAAAUGCAAGCCUGCCCGUACAGAUAGACAUUCAGUCUUUGCUGACACCGUAAGCCCUUCGCCUCAAAGCACUGACCGGGUGCACGGCUCAACUAUGGACAUGAAGCCACUGGGUCCAGACAUGAUGAGUGUGUUGAAACGACCUGCACAGGUUACUUUCGACCUCUGGACACCACAGUGAGACACAGACAUCCUGGGAAACCUGAUGUGUCCAAGUUGGGAAAGUCGGACCCAUAGUUAGUCCAUGCCCUGGCUCUGAGGGGAACCUUAAGUAUUUGACUUGGCUUUCAUUUGGUUGUUGAAACACUGUGAUGUGGUUCUGGAAGCAUCAGUGCAGUUUUUGGGGCACUUAUUAGUGAUCCUAAACAGAAAUACAGCCCACAUCUUAUAACUGAAGGUCGCCGUCUGUGACGAAUAACGAUCAACACUGGAGAGCCACAGGGAACACUGAGAAAAGCCGAGGAAAUGGAGUUCGAGGAUUGUUAAACACCUGUUUUGAAGCAGUCUAUAAUGUACCUGUGGAGAGGGUGAUUAGAAUCCAUUUAAGAUAAAAAUCUAGCUCAAAUCCUGUUUGGAUGUCAAGAGCCCCAUCUGCUGGUGGAAUGUGACUGAGCCGCAGCCUCCAGACUGAUGGAAAAACAGAUGCAUCAGAAGAGUAGAAAAUGAACCACAGUUUCUGUAUCCAUUCCUCUGUUAAGGGACAUCGGGAUUGUUUCCAGGUUCUGGCUAUUAUGAAUAAAGCUGCUACAAACAUGGUUGAGCAAA